AUGGGUGGGUCUCGCAGCAUAGUUUUGAAUCCGGACCUCGUUAGAGCCAACUGUGGCCGAAAGCACUGCAGGCGAGAGUGGUUUCAGACGGCGGGACGUCCGUGUCUCAUCGCACACCAGCAGAUCUCUCUGGUUGGUCAGGCGCUCGGCCUGCAUGCACAAGCCGAAAAUGACAUGCCCUCCUCUGGCUCAAGGCCUGCGUGAGCCUAGCUGAGUUCUAGGCAGCUGGCAUCCCGUUUCCACAAAAUAUUUGUGGUCCGAGAUGACUUGAUGGGACUGGCCAAUCGUACCCAUGGUGCCAACAUCUAGAAAGCCAGGAAGGUGCCCGGGGUGACUGCUAUCGACUUUUAUUAAGAAGCCUGUAUGUUCCACAUCUGCCAUGAGCUCAGGUCUCACAAGCACACACCCUUUAUGUGACUCUAUUCUCUUUCAUCUGAGCAUAUAAUAUUUUCUCUAGUAUGAUUUUAUGUUUUUCAUGUUGACAAUUGCAGUGGUGAAGGCUAGGAGUGACCUUGAAUUCUCAGAGGAUUUCAUCAAAGUACCCAUACAGUGCUUGUCAAAUAUGCUGCCUGGUCUCUGCUUGAUGAUGACAUGGCCUGGUCCCUUUUGCCUUCGUGGAAACAACGGAAAGCUUCACAAACGCCUGAGUGCUGCUCGACCAUCAUCUGAAUUGCUUGAAGGUGAGGGCACUGCCUUCCUGUCAUUCGCAAUAGGGUGUCAAGUUUGCAUACCUCACAGAUGGCAGGUCUGACGUGGGUAUUUCUGCAGUCCUGCAGGCCUUGUGAGCACUGCUUGGGCUUCUGGGUGUGGAGGAAGAAUGCAAGGGCUUUGAAUUACUGGGUUUAACCUUAGAACUUUUUGUCAAAAGUGAGUUAUUUAAACGGAAAGCUCUUGGUCAUGUUAUUUUGCUAUAAAACAUAUUAAACACAUGAAAUAACAUUUCUAAAUAUGAAAACUAACAGACAUGCAGUACAAAUAAAAUCUGUUGUAUGGGACUCUUAUAACAAUGCUGUGGUAUGGGUCAGUUCUAAAGCUUUGUCUCAAGACUAUGCUAAUUGAAAAUGUUGCCUAAUAAUUGUAAGCUCUAUAUUUUUGGCUGAACUGUAAGGUUGACAGGCAGCUUCCUCCAGAAAGUGGAUGAGCUCUGUAUGGUGAGGUUGCAGGUUGACACACAGCUCCAGAAGAUCCGUGGGGGGCCCGGGACCUCAGGAGCCCCAACAAAGUGAAGGGGUUCAUCACAGACAAAGCUUUAGGGCCCCUUGUAAGGGGUAGCCCUUUGGGGCCAGGGGGGCAGGGUAAACAAGCUCCCAGCUUUUCAUCAGGUGCACAACUGUGAACUACACCUUCAAGGUGAGAAAGUACACCAAUGAAAUUCUGAGCGUUGGUAGAGUAGCUACAUCUGUUCAAGUGUACCUAACUGAAAUGAAAAGGGAUCCUGAAUGUGAUUUUGAAGCAUACAGACAAUGAAUAAUGAAUGAAUUGAGUGUUGCAUUCUGUGUGGCACACCUGCAAAGUUUCCUCCUUUUACCAGUGGAAUAUCUUUACCAGUGGAAUAUCUGUAUAGUUAGCAUGGCUAAUUUGCACUAGUGCAAUGUUGUAUACUUUCACUGGUCUGAGAAUGUUGUUAGCCAGGUAUGGCACCCUUUCUCGGAUAAUUCAGGUGGCUGUACUUAUGUUUCACCUCCACUGAAAUUGCUCUGGAUAUGAAUGUCAGUUAAAUGAAUGUAAUGUAAUAAAAUAUAGGUGAAUUGU